UGUAUAUAUGUAUGGAUACAUGUUUAUAUAAAUACACACACACACAUACACACACACAAACACACACACACAUAUAUAAAUUUAAACUUUUCUCCCCUAUGACACCUCUGAGAUUAGAAGUAAAUGAUUUUGGCUAUUUUGGAAAUUAAAAACCUGAGACUCAGAGAAGUUAAAUGACUUGGUUAAGUCAACAUAGCUAUUAAAUGGCUAGGUCUCAAAAACAACUCUUCUGACCAAGAUUUCCCCCACAAUACUGUGUAGUAUCUCUCAUUAUUUGUGGCACAAACAGCACACAUCCAUUAAUGCUAGAUUCAGGUUCCUUUCCAUAAAUAGAAAAAGUAGAUAGAAAUAUAUAUUCCCAAGUUUCUCUUAUGGUACAGUGAAAGGAGUGUCAGAAUUGGUGUCAGAUGUAGAUUCAAAACCUGGUUCAGACAUAGCUAUUACUUAUCUAAAUAAGUUAUUCAACAUGUGUCUUAGUUUCUUUCUUAGCAAAAUGAAGAAUUUAGACUUAUAGGUUCCUAAUUUCUUCUUUAGUUCUAAAUAUAUGAUCCAAUGUCAGCAUUGUGAUCCUUUUUCUCUUCAGUGGUCUAUACAAUCUUAUGAUUAUGCAAUCAUUCUAUAACUUUUGGUGAUUAGAGGCAUUGUGAUAUUGUGGAUCUGAUGCUGGAUGUGAAGUCCAAAGACUUGUGUUCAAAUCUCACCCAUGAUACUUUCUAUGUGAAUCUGGAAAAGUCAUCUAAACCUCUCCAUGUUUCAGAAAACUUCUUAUUAUCUGUUAAAUCACAAAUGAGUUAUCAUCUGUAAUUUUGCCUAACAUUGGAGCAGUUAAUGUUUGCCAUGGAGGAAAGUCCCUGAGACUUAAAGUUGUUUUUCACUCUAGCUCUGCCACCAAUCAGCUAUGUAAUCUUAAACAAAUUGAUGUUGGAGGAAGGAUGGUCCUGGGUUGGAGAAGUCCUAAAGAUCUCAAAGAUGCCCAGACCUCUUGGAGGGGCUCCAACCACCUGUUUAUAGGGAAAACUCCCCAAGCGAUCUGCACCUACAAUUCAAUUGGAGAUUUUGGCCUGGGGCAUAAUCACCACCCUCUAUUGGGUUGAAAAUUAGUCCUUCAAAUUGCUCCCUAGCUUGGGGCCAUAAAAAUCCAAUAUAACCAAAAGCCUGUAAACCCAUCUCUGCAAAAAAUUCUAACAGAAUUUUGCCUGCUGAGAAAGUUGUUUGCUCAGUGUAAUAAACCCUUUUUUUUCUUCCACAAACCUUGCCUGUAUUCAUUUGGGUUUGUGAAUUCUUUCACAAAGCCUGCUGACCUCUUUGUAGUGGCUAGAAACUGGAAACUGAGUGGAUGCCCAUCAGUUGGAGAAUGGCUGAAUAAAUUGUGGUAUAUGAAUAUUAUGAAAUAUUAUUGUUCUGUAAGAAAUGACCAACAGGAUGAUUUCAGAAAGGCCUGGAGAGACUUACACAAACUGAUGCCGAGUGAAACAAGCAGGACCAGGAGAUCAUUAUAUACUUCAACAACAAUACUAUAUGAUGACCAGUUCUGAUGGCCCUGGCCAUCCUCAGCAAUGAGAUCAACCAAAUCAUUUCCAAUGGAGCAGUAAUGAAUUGAACCAGCUACGCCCAGAGAUAGAACUCUGGGAGAUAACUAAAAACCAUUACAUUGAAUUCCCAAUCUCUAUAUUUUUGCCCACCUGCAUUUUUGAUUUCCUUCACAAGCUAAUUGUACAAUAUUUCAGAGUCUGAUUCUUUUUGUAUAGCAAAAUAACAGUUUGGUCAUGUUUAAAAAAAAACAAAACAAAAAAAAAACAAAGCCUGCUGACACCGGCCAGAGGACCCUUUGCUGUCAGGGGAUCUCAACCCUCAUUUCUCAUACCUUAACAUCAUCACUUGAACUUUCUAGACUCAAGGGUAACUAGAUGAUAUAGUGGAUACAGCAUUGGCUCUCAAGUCAGGUGGAUUGGAAUUCAAAUUCAGCCUCAGACACUUAACAUUUAUAGGUUAGGUGGGUGAUUUUAGGCAAGUCAAUUAACCCCAAUUGCCUCAUAAAAAUGAUAUAGAUGAUUGCUAUGGUUUCUAUCAGAUUUAACAUUCUGUUAAUCUAGUAAUGUUUGCAUAUUUAGACCCAUUUUUAGUUACUUAUAAGCAGUAGGUAGUGACUUUAAAUUUCAUGGAAUGUAGGUUCUCUAAAUAUAGAUCUAGUCUCAAUAGUAUCAGGUUUUUCUAGUGUUUUUGGCUAUAGGGGGAAGAAAUGGUGAGGAUUUGUGAUUUCGUUGAUUCUGAAAAUUCUGUGUGCAAACUCUAUCCACUGAUUUAAACCAGGAACACAUCUGAAACAUAAAGUCUUAUAAGUUGUCUGAGGCAUUGAGAAAUUAAAUGAUUAACUUGUGGUUACAGGGCUAUCAAUAUUUUGCUAUGAUCCAGAUGGUUCUAGAGGAGACAGUGAGACUGGUGACAUUACCGAGUCCCGUCCCACUUAAAUCCAAUUCACUUGUAUGUCAUGACAUCAUUUCCCUGAUGUCAUGGUCUUCUUCAGGAACAAAGGACAAACAAUAAUGUCUGUGAGUAGUAGGAGGAGCUGCCUCAUUGGGUACCCAACUUGGAACUGUCCAGUUAAGCAACAUAUCUUCUUUUGUUUUCUUUCUCCCCUUUUCCCUUUCCUUUUCCUUUUCCCUUUCCCUUCCAUUUCCCUUUUUUCUUUUCUUCUUUCUCUCCCCUUUCUUCAGUCCACAUAAAAUAUUAUACCCUUACUUAUGGGUGCUCUGUCUAAAGGAAUGUGCCUUUGAUCACUGAUUCUACCUUAAAGAUCAUACCUUAAGACCAAAUCACUUUUGGCUCUCAUUGAUUGGCUAACAAUAGUUCCCACAGCAAGCCCUACUUGUUCACUCUUUGAGCCUUGAUUGACUCAAAAUGAAUGUAAAUAGCAUUUUUUUUUCUGUUUCUCCAGAGACCCUGAGGAUCUUCUCCUCCAAGAUUAUUAAUUUUUUUUUAACUAGGUAAAAGAGGUCAUUCUAUGUUUAAUUUCUUACCUAGCUGUAAGCACGGAUUGGAAAUUGUCUCAGUCACAAUGAGACCUGCUAAAACUUAAAAAGGCAAAAUCUCCCACUGCAUGUAAGGCCAUCUGCAGUUGUCCCUAGAAAUGUCUUGCCACUGAUUCAGAUGACUCUGGAAGAAAAAAGUGAGGCUAGUGGCUUUGCACAGUGUCUCUUCAAUCCAAUCCAUCCACAUGUCCCUGUGUCAUCUCCCUCAUAUCAUGGUUCUCUUUGAGAACAAAGGACAAACAAGAACACCAUGACCAUCACAUGCCAGAACCAGCAUUUAAUUCCUGACUCCAAGGAUACACCCAUAUCCAUUUAACCAUAUUGCUUUUUAUUUUAUAGAAUCAUAGAAUUAGAACUAGAAGGGAUCUUAAAAAUCAUUGUCUAACUUUUUUGGAUCCUCAGAGAAGACUAAGGCUCACAGAGGUUAAAUUCCUUGACCAAAAAUCACACAAACAGGAAACAUGUGAAGUGAUUUUAGCUGAGAUGACUUAAAAUUUAUUUUUGGACUGGAAAUAUAACAAAAGUAAAGCUUUGUUCCUUUUUUUUUAACCUCUCUUAUGCUAUGUUUGUACUUUUUCCUAGAAAAAGGAUGUCUAAGAAAACAAGAUUGCAAUAUCAUCAAAAAGUUUCUAGGACAGAAUACCUGAGUUUGUCAUGUAAUGAAAAUGGGAAUAAUGUAAAAUAGACAAUGUGUGAGUUACUUGUUGGGCUGGAACCUUAUGUAAGAAUAAAAUUAGAUCCCUUAUAAUUCCUGUUUCUGUGAAGCAUUUUUUAUCAAGUAUUUUUCUCAAGACCUUUGAACUUACUGUCUUUAGAAUGGUUAUGCUACCAAGUCUGUCUUGUUUGUAUACCUUACACAGGGUGGCAAUAGUCUUCCAGAUUUCAGUUUCAUAGUUUCAGGUACUAUUGCCAUAGAGGGCAAGGGAAGGGAGGUGUUAGAUAGUAAAAGUAUAUUUGAAAUGGAGAGAAAAAAAAAUCUACAUUUCAAUGAAAAUACUUUCAAGGCAUUUCAAAUAAGAAUUGGAGAGAAAUAAUUACAAAGUUUGGAAAGAAAGAAUCUUAGCUUUGAUCUGCCUUUCUUCUGUAAAGCAAUUAAAAUAAGCAAUUUUUCAAAUACUAAGCAGAAAAUUACUAAUGGCUGAACCCAAAAGCUUUCAUUUGCUUCUCAGGGCUUUCAUUCCUCUAAAAAAAAAAAAAAAAAAAAAAAGACAAAAAAAAUUAAGGUGGCUUUUCAGAUAGAUUAAUGCAUAAAGCAUUUACUGGUUGGCUGUCAUAAAACUACAGCAGCAUAGAAUAGCUGAGAUUAAGAGCUAGAUUUAAAUCAUGCAACAAACAGUCCAGUUAAUAUCAAUGUCUAAUUAAGAAAUGCAUAAGAAGUCUGUAAUGUUGAUUUGAUGGAGAAAAACUCUAAUAGUGCUCUAUUGGAAUUUUCCAUUUCAAUUGCCUUUGCAGACUUUUAAUGGCUAUGUCUCUUACAUAGUCUUUUGUAUUCACAAUUUAGGAAUUAAAAUCAGGACCUAAUGUAGACAUUAACUAUUCUGGAGGGUAGGCUUUAUAAACAAAAAGAAGUAACAAUUCUUGAAGAUUUAAUUUGAAAAAGACUACUAGAAUUGGACUUCAAAGUUAAGCUUUUACUUUUUUCUUCACUUCUUAAAACUUCAGAUCAAUUGGCAUUCAUAUGUAGUGAGAUAUGGAAUACUUUGUCAUUUACUUAAGUUAUUGCACUGAAUGUGUUGAAUUGUAAUUGUACUAGCUGCGUAGAUUGUAAUCUCUUGGCAUGUCUCCUCAGCAACAGCAAUGUGAACAAUUAACCAUUUGUCUACCAUUAAGAAUCAUAAAGGCUGGAAUUGUUGAUGUUGGGAAGUCUAAUGUGAUUGGGUGCAGUUUCAGUGGUCUUCUUAGGUAUUCCUAAAUGUUCUCAAGUAACUGAAUUAAUGACUAUAUCAAUUGUUAUGUUUCUAAUGUCUUUAGAAAAGAGACUGAAGAAAUGAAAAACUAGUCCUUGUAUUAAAUCAGUAAUGUUAUCACUACCUUAGUGUUGAUCCAGAGGGAAUUAGAGCAAGAUUUGAAACACUAAAUAACCCUAAUGACACUAGGAAGAAGCUCACCAGGGAGUUGUUUGAGAGUUUGUCAGAGCACAUUAAAAUACAAUACAUUCACAUAAUAAAAAAGGGCACAUCAUUCCAUCUGUCUAUACAUUCCUUUCCAAUAUUAUAUUUGUCUUGGGACUUUUCAAAAUUACAUCACCUAACUCUAUUCCUUUACUUAGUGAGUAAAAAUGUGGGGAAAAUGGAGAUCAAAUCAGAAUAAUUAUAUAAGUGAAAGUCUACAAUUUAAAUCAUUAUUGCUUAAGAUACCAUUGCUUUAAUCAGUCCUAUCAUAAAUCAGUUCUUUCCACAUAAGAAGUUCUUAAAGUGCUGUUAAACAAAUCAUGCCCCUUAAAAGGAAUGAUGCAAUUGGAAAGCUUCUGAAGAUAGAUAGAAAAUCCUUUUUAGCUUCUAGUCAAAUUCAGCUAUUUUACACAAUAGCUUCGAUUCUAUAAACAUCCAGUUCUUUCUUGGAAAUUGUUACAAAUAUUUAUGCCCAUGGUAUUGCAUUUAAAUAAAAAAAAUACUGUUCUUAGGAAAAAUUCAAACUUAUAGUUAUUGCUUCUACUCAUUGGGAAUAAAGUCUUAUUUUUACUCCCUUCUUUGACCUUUUGGACUCAAUAUAUUGCUGCAUUAGUAAUGUGAAUAUAGUGCUUUCUAUGCUGUCUAGUGGUUAUUUGAGGAAAUUCAAGUCAAAAACAUUUACUAAAGGCAUAUUAUAUUCAAGGUACAUACUGGACACUGGGGAACCAGAGACAAGGAAAAACAAGUCUCUGCUUUAAAGAAAUUAACAUUCUGUUAUGGAACAUUGUUAUUCUAUAAGAAAUGCUCAGCAGGACGAUUUCAGAAAGGCCUGGAGAGACUUACAUGAACUGAUGCUAAGUGAGAUGAGAAGAACCAGGAGAUCAUUGUACACAGCAACAGCAAAAUUGUCUGAUGAGAAAUUUUGAUGGAUGUGGCACUUCUCAACAAUGAGACGAUUCAGACUAGUUCCCAUGAUCUUGUGAUGAAGAGAGCCAUCUACACCCAGAGAGAGAACUGUGGGAAAUGAGUGUGGAUCACAACAUAGUAUUCACAUUAUUUUUAUUUUUGUUUGCUUGCAUUUUAUUUUCUUUCUUCUUUUUUUUCCCCCUUUUUGAUUUGAUUUUUCUUGUGCAGCAAGAUAAUUGUAUAAAUAUGUAUGCAUAUAUUAGAUUUAACAUAUAUUUUAAUCAUAUUUAACAUAUAUUGGAUUACUUGCUCUCUAGGGGAGGGGUGGGGAGAAGGGGGGGAAUGGGAACACAGAGUUUUGCAAGGGUUAAUGUUGAAAAAUUAUCCAUGCAUAUCUUUUGAAAAUUAAAAAGUUUUAAUUAAAAAAGGAAAUAAAUUAAUAUUCUAUCCAUAAGAAUAUAAUUUUUUUAGUCACAUAUUUUGUAAGACAUUUUGGAGUUUAAUGGCUGGAUUAAUUUUUUUUAUUUUUUUGAAAAGUUGGGGCAAGUUACUUUUUUGUCCUGUGCAAUUUUCAUUCAUGAUUUCUUAAAAUAUAGCUCUGAAAAAACAGGUUUUUCCCAUCAUUAUUCAAAUGGACAUACUUUGUUGUGUCUUUAAACCCAAAUCAUCCUGGCUUUUUUAAAAAUGGCCAAUAACAGCCUCCAUCCCAAACCUCUGUUGCUCAAUCUUUAGAUUUUGAUGGCUUAGGAGUAUAAAUGGCAAUUGUUUUCUGUUCUGACCAGAAAUUCUAAAGGUCUUUCCUUUUCAAAUUGAUACUUUUGUGAUGAUAAACUAGGUUGUCUUUUGUCACUUUUCUUAUUUAGCCCUUGGUUGUUGUCCUACCAAAAUAAUAUGAUUAUAUUAGACUCAAGUUACUAUCUGACUGUGGCUGAUAACAACAGUACAAAUUCAAAAUGCUCUACCACAGAUUGGGCACAAAUAAGUCAUGUGAACAUUUGUGUUGGAUUCUAAAUCUGUACAUCUCAUUUCUUUUUGAACUACUUUAGUUCUGCUUUGCUCAUAGAGCUGCAGCUACUGUAGCUCAGAACUCCCUGGCUCAAAACAUUGUGAGCAUUAAUCUUCCAAAAGCUGGUAUCAUAGGAAUGUCUGAUUAUGCCAGUUAUUCUCUAGUAUCUGACCAAAUUAUCCACCUACACAGCAAUGGCAAUCUUUUGGACUUCUGACAAAUAAAUCAUAUGGCUUUGAAAAUGUGGAAAGAGCCAAACUAUAAUAUUGAUUCUUUACUUGCAUACUUCAUCGAGUAUAGCACCAAUGUCUUCUAUAUCAUGAAAUCAACUCCAAAGUUCUUCAGAGAGACUUUAUUGCAAUAAUCAGACAAAAACUAAUCCAGUCAAUUGCACCAAUAAAAUUAGCUGAGAGGUGGUCAUGCAGCAGAAAGCAGGAAUGUUUAUACAAACUGUCUUGUGGCUGUAAAACAAUAAUACAUGUUACACAAACACUUGAUCAUGAUCAUUCCUGGGCUUUCUUCUUCUACAUAUAGCUUGACUAGAUUCCAAUUAAUUAUGCUCCAUCACAAAGUCAACUACAGAGUAGGGAUUAGAAAAAAAAAGUCACUGGAACAAAUAAAGAUUUGGACAGCAAAGUUCAGGAAAGUCAAAUAUGAAAAUGUUCAAUCUAGAGAAGAGAAGAUUGAGAAAAGACUUAGAAAUGAUCUUUAAUAUCCAAAAUAUUUUGUGAAGUUUAACUAACUUUAUUCUCUUUUCCCUGAGACAGAACAAGAUAAAAUAACCUUAAGGUGUGAUUCAGUUUAGGCAAGAUACAAAGAAGAGUCAAAUGUAACUUAGUGGAUAGAGAACUGGCCUCAAAUACAGGAAAGACCUGAAUUCAAGUCCUGACUGACAUAGACUACUGUAUGAGUUUAGCAGCUGCCUGCGUAUCCCACUGUAAGUCAUGAUGAAGUAAAUUGGAGCUCUAAAAACAGAUGUACUGAAGUGCUUCAAGAAGAUUCAAGCAAAUGAGACUCAGAAUUCACAUCUAUCUGUGAGAUUUUUCUGUACCUGAGGAUACAAUUCAUCUGGGCCAAGUAAUGAAAAUAAUUGUCAACAGCAGCACAACUCCAGUCAUCGGGAUCUCCAAAUACUCAAGGGCCACUAUAAAAGGCCAUAGAAUGGGAAUAGAAGACAAGAGGUGGCCAGUGUGAUUCUAAUUGCUGAUUGUGCAAAGAUGCCCUUGAUAAACCUGAUUACUUCAGCCUGUACUUGUUAAGGGACAGGGCCAAGGGAAGAGGUAAUGAGGAUAAGUAUUGAUGAAGUGCCUACUCUAUGCCAGGCAGUGAACUAAUUAUCUCCUUUAAACCUUAUAGCAACCCUGUGAGUCAUGUGAGUUUUAGAGCCACCAAUCAUUAUCAAGAAAAGAAUGAAACUCAACGCCUGACAAGAAGAUGUGCUCUGAAGCAGCAUAAUAUUCAAUUUAUUUCCAAGGCUACUGAUUUAGGAAGAAAAAGGAGAAUAAGUGGAAUAAUUAAUUUCCUACCUUGAAGUGUCAUUGGGAUCUACCUCUGGGCAGAAACUGAGAAGUUGGUCUAUGCAAAGGAAACCUAUUCUUAGACUGUCUCUGGCUUUAUUGAAAGCAACUUUUAAAAUGCAAGAGCACUUUGUUGAACGACAGCUGGAUGGAAAUGUUGUCUGUCAAAGAUAAAAAGAAAUGGGUACUAAGGCUGCUAAUCUAUAAAUCUAGAUGGGGUAUCCAAGAUGUACACACAGACAUAUGUUUGAUAUGGGUAAACUUUAAACAGGUAGUGAUUGAACAUUAGGUAAAAUAUGUCAAGUUUUCCAUUCAGUGAUAUAUUCAAUACAGCCUCAUAAAUGCACCUAUCAUUUGGGAAUUCUACAAGGAAAUCAAUAGCAAGAAAAUGUUCACAAAUUCUCAAAAUAUGUCAAAAAACUAUGUCAUCCUAAAUGAAGGAUGGUGGAACCAUGCUUAACAUUUAUUUAUUUAUUUAUUUAUUUUAUUUUAUUUUUUUAUUUAAUAGCCUUUUAUUUACAGGAUAUAUGCAUGGGUAACUUUACAGCAUUAACAAUUGCCAAACCUCUUGUUCCAAUUUUUCACCUCUUACCCCCCCCACCCCCUCCCCUAGAUGGCAGGAUGACCAGUAGAUGUUAAAUAUAUUAAAAUAUAAAUUAGAUACACAAUAAGUAUACAUGACCAAAAUGUUAUUUUCAUGCUUAACAUUUAGACUUAUUUGGGUAGUUUUGUUUUCUGGGAUUCUUUUAGUUAUGAGAGACUGAAUAAUUAUAAUUUUUCUUUUUUAAAAAAUUUAAACUCUUCAAAGUUAUUAUUUUUCUUUUCUGUUUUCAUUUUGCCAUGCAGGUAUAUUUUUUCCCUCUUAUCUGAGUUAUUGUCCUAUCAAGUGAGUAAUUUGGCUACUGAAAGGGGCAAAAUAAAUGAACUUUUAGGAUCACAAAUAAACUUUUGCAUAAAGAAAAAUAAUUAAAUCAACUUCUGAAGGAAAGAAAAUAUUGUUCCUUUCAUGUAUGAAUAGUUUGCAUAUGAAUAUGAUAGAAAAAGAACUUUUGUUUAUCUGAAAGAAAUGAAAUUCAAGAAUUAAGAUAGUUUUGGGAUAAAAUGUGAGGAAACACAGAUGGCUAAGAAGGCCAAAUAGAGAACUUGUAGUGUCAACCAAAGAUCUUGAACGAUCUCUUUGAGAAUAAGAAGAUGAUUGAGGUAAAGGGCAUUGUGGCCACUCAGGUCAUUUAUUUAUAGUGUUUGCAUCAUUGAAACUAACAAAGACAUGAAUUAAAUAAUAGUUUGGAGAUUUGGGGAGAAGGAUUAAAAAUACAUUCAUAAAAUCAUAUAUCCAUACAAUCAAAAAGACAAUCACAAAGAAAAAAUAAGUCAGUUUUGCCCUGGAGAUGAUGGUUUGAGCCAUCAGAUAAGUUGAAGAAUCUAGGAAAAGAGAAAAUAAUGGGACAGUUAAGAAAGUAGAGGCUGAAUGAGAAGGCAAUAGCAGGAAUAGCCAAUUGAUAGGAAGGCUUUUAAAAACCUUAACAUUAGGGAAGUUGCUAACUGGAGGGAAAAAAUUGUUUUGUGGACCAGGUGAAAAGAAGGCUAGAAGUCUUCUGAUUCUUGAACAGCCAAACACUGCUGGUUUUCUGUAUUACUUAUUAGUUUUGGAGAGAGCCAAAAUCUGUCAGAAGUGUCUGGUUGUUCUCUUUUGCCCCAACAAGGGAAGCAAGAAAAACAAAUAGGGAAAGACAGGUUUAAUGGUCAAUUCUGCUUGUUAUAACAAGCUGAUAGGAUGAUGCAGAUAGUUAAUAGAAUGAUACAGAAUCCUCCUAAUUGAGAGCCUGGCUGGGCUAGUCUGUCUUACCCAGAGGAUCAGUCUGAGACCUUUGCAGUUCACUGGUUCAAAGGGAACUUUUUGUCAUUAUAAUAAAGUAAUAUUUCCUCAGCACCCUAAAGGGUUAUUGUGAAUUUCCAAAGCCUAUUUCUUCUUAACCACUUUAUGAGUAGGAAACAAGCAAGUUUGCACUGCAGUGAAAUGCUAAUGUACAGAAAGAUGAGCAUUUGGUGGAGAAAUGGCUUUAUGGAAUAUAGUUUGUUCUCGAAGAGCUCUGAGCUGCUAAGUUCGGAGUUGUAAGUUACCUUGAAUAUAUGGGUUGUCCUUAUUCAUGUGCCUCUUCUCUAGAUUUCUAUAAUUAUUUGCCAAUUCAACCCCAUGAAUCCUAUAUGAAUAGGUGAAAUGAUGAGAAAGUUUACGUGUGAACUUUGAUAUAUUUAUUAUGAUUACAUUUGGAUUAAUAUUGACUGAUUGUAUUUGUGAUUAGCUAUUGCUUUCACCUCAUAAUUAAAUAAAUCUUUCUGCCUAAGAAUUAAUUGUGUCAUCAUUGUGACUGAUUUCGUAUGGAUGGGAAUCAUAACAGUGAGGGGUCAUGAACUACAGUGGUGAAUAGAAGGGAUAUUCCAACCCUUGUUAUGCCAAUAAAGUUAUCCUGGGGAUCCUGAGAGUAUCUGGUUUGCAGUAAAGUAGUAGCCUUUUUAGGGGAACCCACAUCUGUCAGCAUGACAGUAUGAGUAGCCCCAAAAUCAAGCAGGUA
ensembl:lncRNA